rnacentral:rRNA from 1 species
GAUGAACGCUGGCGGCGUGCCUAAUACAUGCAAGUCGAGCGAACAGACGAGGAGCUUGCUCCUCUGACGUUAGCGGCGGACGGGUGAGUAACACGUGGAUAACCUACCUAUAAGACUGGGAUAACUUCGGGAAACCGGAGCUAAUACCGGAUAAUAUAUUGAACCGCAUGGUUCAAUAGUGAAAGACGGUUUUGCUGUCACUUAUAGAUGGUUCCGCGUUGCAUUAGCUAGUUGGUAAGGUAACGGCUUACCAAGGCGACGAUGCGUAGCCGACGUGAGAGGGUGAUCGGCCACACUGGAACUGAGACACGGUCCAGACUCCUACGGGAGGCAGCAGUAGGGAAUCUUCCGCAAUGGGCGAAAGCCUGACGGAGCAACGCCGCGUGAGUGAUGAAGGUCUUCGGAUCGUAAAACUCUGUUAUUAGGGAAGAACAGAUGUGUAAGUAACUAUGCACGUCUUGACGGUACCUAAUCAGAAAGCCACGGCUAACUACGUG